GCCUGGAUAGUUCAGUCGGUUAGAGCAUGGUAUUGAUAAUGCCAGGGUUGCAGGUUUGAUUCCUGUAUGGGACA